rnacentral:rRNA from 1 species
UGGGGAAUUUUGGACAAUGGGCGAAAGCCUGAUCCAGCAAUGCCGCGUGUGUGAAGAAGGCCUUCGGGUUGUAAAGCACUUUUGUCCGGAAAGAAAUCCUUGGCUCUAAUACAGUCGGGGGAUGACGGUACCGGAAGAAUAAGCACCGGCUAACUACGUGCCAGCAGCCGCGGUAAUACGUAGGGUGCAAGCGUUAAUCGGAAUUACUGGGCGUAAAGCGUGCGCAGGCGGUUUGCUAAGACCGAUGUGAAAUCCCCGGGCUCAACCUGGGAACUGCAUUGGUGACUGGCAGGCUAGAGUAUGGCAGAGGGGGGUAGAAUUCCACGUGUAGCAGUGAAAUGCGUAGAGAUGUGGAGGAAUACCGAUGGCGAAGGCAGCCCCCUGGGCCAAUACUGACGCUCAUGCACGAAAGCGAUGGGGAGCAAACGAGGAUUCAGAUACCCUGGUAGUCCAGCGCCCUAAACGAUGUACAACUAGUUGUUGGGGAUUGCAAUUUCCUUAGUAACGUAGCUAACGCGUGAAGUUGACCGCCUGGGGAGUACGGUCGCAAGAUUAAAACUCAAAUGAAUUGACGGGGUCAUAGCUGUUUCCU